CAGCGCUCCGGGUGGGGCUGUGAGUCCAUCGCUGAGAAAAGGGAGCUGGAGGACCAGUGUGGAGCCUGAGCCAGCUGGAGAGGGGCCCGGUAGGAGGUGAGCAGCAACUGUUUGGGCUGGUGGCACAGAGGUAAAAGAACUUACCAAGACAGCUGUGGGUGAAGAAAGGCAGAUUUAUUAAAGACAGUAUCAAAGUAUGUUAUCAGGGAGCAACAGGCAGAAUCAGUGGAAGAGGAGCUGACUGCAAGGAAACAAAGGCUUGCUGGAGAUUUUAUAGGAUGGUUCCUGGGCUGAUUGAUAAUGCCAAGGCAGCAGGGAGCUGACCUGCAUUCUUCUGU
rnacentral:lncRNA from 10 species